GAUGAUUCCUGUUGGAAAACCCAGUGGUGUCGUCUAGGUGAUACGCAGGUAUACGCAGUAUACCCUCUAAGAAAGCCCCAGGAUUUCCAUGUACUCAUUUAUAAAUGCCCAAUGAAACGCAACAACUUACUUUCAUUAUAGUUUUGAUAAAUGUUGAAAUGUCAUCUGUGUUUUAGUGUUUUUUCCUUCACAAAAGGCUAAAUAAAAGUAUUUCCACCAGAAAUUGGUGCAUAACAGUGUAUCCGAAUGAAGUCGUUGAUGCUCAAAACUUCCCUGGG